UACGUAGGUGGCAAGCGUUGUUCGGAUUCACUGGGCGUAAAGGGUGCGUAGGUGGCGAGGUAAGUCGGAUGUGAAAGCUCGGAGCUCAACUCCGAAAUGGCAUUGGAAACUACCUUGCUCGAGGGUUGGAGGGGGGACUGGAAUGCUUGGUGUAGCAGUGAAAUGCGUAGAUAUCAAGCGGAACACCAGUGGCGAAGGCGAGUCCCUGGACAACUCCUGACACUGAGGCACGAAAGCUAGGGGAGCAAACAGG
rnacentral:rRNA from 1 species